UACAGAGGUGGCAAGCGUUGUUCGGAAUUACUGGGCGUAAAGGGCGCGUAGGUGGCCUUUUGAGUCAGACGUGAAAUCCCCCGGCUUAACCUGGGAACUGCGUCUGAUACUGGAAGGCUUGAGUUCGGGAGAGGGAUGUGGAAUUCCAGGUGUAGCGGUGAAAUGCGUAGAUAUCAGGAGGAACACCAAUGGCGAAGGCAGCUCGCUGGAACGGUACUGACGCUGAGGCGCGAAAGCGUGGGGAGCGAACAGG
rnacentral:rRNA from 1 species